rnacentral:lncRNA from 1 species
AUAUGGAGAAGAAGUGGGAAGAGAUUUACGCGUUUAUUUCUGCGGGCUCCUACCCUUCAGGAUAUGACAAGGCUCAGAGGCAAAACCUCAGAAGAUAUGCCUCAAAAUUCCAACAAAAGGAUGGAGAACUCUUUGUUGGAACUAGAAAAGUAGUAAAAACCAUGGAUGAUGCCAGGAAGAUAUUUCAUGAGUUUCAUUCAUCUCCAAUUGGAGGACACACUGGCAUACACAAAACGCUAAGUGCAGUGUGUUCCAGAUUUUACUGGUUUGGUAUGACAGUUGACAUUAAAACAUGGGUAUGUAUUAACUGUUUGCAUUGUUGUUAAAUGCCGUUUAAAAUAAGAAUUUUUUUUUGAUAUCAGUUAAAAGAGAAACUGUACACUUGCAAAAUAUAAAUAAAUAUGAUUAAUUAGUGAUAUUACAGUAAUAACCUGUAGGCCUGGCAGAGAUUUGAAGACACACACAAAGUUUUGUUGCUAAAUUGUUUGUUCGUUAGAGAAUAUAUCAUUAAUGAUGUUUUUUUGGGUUUUUUUAUAAAUGAGAAUGUUGAACAUUUAUGUGAACUCCAUAAAUAUUUUUACCUUAAAGAUUCUGGAAUGUGACCAGUGUCAAAAAGUUGGGAAACCACUGACUGCUGUGCAACCGUUGCAGUGUAUUCAGGUGUCUGAAGUGUGGGAACUUAUUGGUAUAGAUCUUACUGGACCUCUUCCUAAAACGUCAAGCGGCUUCCAGUAUAUACUGACUGCAACUGACUACUUUUCAAAAUGGGUUGAAGCUUUCCCAUUAAAAACGAAAUCUGCAUCUGAGGUAGCCCAGCACUUGUGCUCCAUUAUAUAUAGACAUGGCUGCCCCAAAAGGAUUUUGUCAGACCAAGGCAGAGAGUUUGUGAAUGAAGUAAGUGUUAAAUAA